rnacentral:misc_RNA from 1 species
AAUAGACACGCACGCGCGCAGGAGCAGACGGUUUGAUGACGCCGGCUAUAUAUACAUAUACAUAUUUCCUUUGUCAAACUUUUAGAUUGCCGCACGAGUGCGCGCGCUCUCUCAGAUGGUUCUCUCCCUCCCUUGUUGCCUAUUCUCUUGUGGCUCUGUCCUUCUAUUCUGUCUCCCCUCUGCUUGUGAGGUGCUUGCGUGACUGCGAGUGCCGUGAGUUGAGCAACGCACACACGAUGAGAUGGAGACCUGACUAAGCGGGGGUGCGCAUGACGCACGGCCAGAGACUCUUUCUCUUCCACAUAAGAAAAAGGUGAAAAUGAGGAAGGCGAGAGGCGGGGGGGGCGAGAGAGAGUGGCGCAGUAGCGGUGGUGAGGAGCAGGAGAACAGUGACGAGGCAAGCUUCGUGCGUGCAUCACGCACGAAUCGAAAGUGGUCUGUCCACUUCUCCUGCAUCCUGUGCUGGAGAAGGAGGCACUGCUUUCCUGUUUUUCACUUCCACGGGCGUUUUUGUUAUGUCUGCGCUUAUUGUAUGCCUUUGCCCCGGCCAUGGACCUCCUUUUGGACUCGUCCUUUUCUCGGUUUUACUCCGCAUCUCUCAUAUUUGGAACACCAAACAACAUACGAGCCGCUGUCGGUGCGAGCAGGGAAAAUAGGGGGAAGAGGGGGGGAGGUGCACCUCAGUCUCCCAAGCGGCACCCCCCCCCUUCCCCUCCCCCUUCUGAAAAAAAGAGUCUCAAACGCUUGCGGGUGAAUGUGUAGGCGUCUACUCUUUGACAAGCACGGAUGAUCCGCCUCCGCUCAUACACACUCUGUGCGGCGCACUCGUUGCGCGGUGCUGCUGUCUCGCUUUCCCUUUUCGCCCCUCCCCCGCUUUUUCCUCUUGUCCUCUUUUCUUCCCGUAG